CCUACGGGUGGCAGCAGUGGGGGAUAUUGCACAAUGGGGGGAACCCUGAUGCAGCGACGCCGCGUGGGCGAUGGAGUGCUUCGGCAUGUAAAGCCCUAUCAGUAGGGAAGAAAAUGACGGUACCUGACUAAGAAGCUCCGGCUAAAUACGUGCCAGCAGCCGCGGUAAUACGUAGGGGGCGAGCGUUAUCCGGAUUUACUGGGUGUAAUGGGAGCGUAGGCGGCCUGGCAAGCCUGAUGUGAAAUACCGGGGCCCAACCCCGAGGCUGCAUUGGGAACUGGCAGGCUGGAGUGCCGGAGAGGUAGGCGGAAUUCGUGGUGUAGCGGUGAAAUGCGUAGAUAUUAGGAAGAACACCAGUGGCGAAGGCAGCCUGCUGGACGGCGACUGACGCUGAGGCUCGAAAGCGUGGGGAGCAAACAGGAUUAGAUACCCGAGUAGUC
rnacentral:rRNA from 1 species